rnacentral:RNase_P_RNA from 1 species
CUACAAACCCGAACUAUCGUGCUGUGGCAAACAGUAAGGAAAGUCUGGACAACACAGAGCAAUUCACCAGUGAAUAGCUGGUUAUGUUUUAAACAUAAAGAAAGUGCCACAGAAAAUAACUACCUGCUUUUGCAGGCAAAGGUGAAAAUGUAAGGUAAGAGCUUACAAUAAGGUGUAGUAAUAUACUUUAUGGGUAAACCUUGAAUGUUGCAAUGCCACGUAUAGAAACGUUUGAGAACUGCUCGUUCAAGUUUCAGGGUAGGCAGCAAAUGAUUGUAACAGUAAUGUUGCAACAAGAUAAAUGGUAGUAAAAAAACAGAAUCCGGCUUACGAGGUUUGUAGUUAC